rnacentral:rRNA from 1 species
CUACGGGCUGCAGCAGUGGGGAAUAUUGGGCAAUGGGCGCAAGCCUGACCCAGCAACGCCGCGUGAGGGAAGAAGGUUUUCGGAUUGUAAACCUCUGUCCCCCCUGACGAAACAAAUGACGGUAAGGGGGGAGGAAGCUCCGGCUAACUACGUGCCAGCAGCCGCGGUAAUACGUAGGGAGCGAGCGUUGUCCGGAAUUACUGGGCGUAAAGGGUGCGUAGGCGGCAUAUUAAGUCAGGUGUGAAAUUUUCGGGCUCAACCCGGAACCUGCAUUUGAAACUGAUAAGCUUGAGUGUGAGAGAGGUAAGUGGAAUUCCUAGUGUAGCGGUGAAAUGCGUAGAUAUUAGGAGGAACACCAGUGGCGAAGGCGACUCACUGGCUCAUAACUGACGCUGAGGCACGAAAGCGUGGGGAGCAAACAGGAUUAGAUACCCCGGUAGUC